rnacentral:lncRNA from 12 species
UCCAAACAAUUCUUCUCUCUUCCCACCCACAGAACACCAUUCUUAUUUGCUUAUUCUUGGAGCUUCUGAGGAAGACAGGGACAUCAGAAUUGGAGACCUGCUCAUGUGGCUUGGCCUUCCUGCAGAGGGUGGGGAGGAAGGCAAAUGCACCCCACUGGGUCAAUGACAGGUUUCAUCCUUGGAGUUCGGCUCUGAAUCUCUAGGGUUGAGGAUGGAUGUAGAGCCCGGCCCCCAUAUUGCGUGGGGUGACACUGAACGCGGGACACGCAGUGCAGGUUUACAAAAGCAAUUGAGAAAGGCCUUGGCUGAAACGCGGAGAAUAUCUGCAGCUUAAAUACAGGAGCGAUUAUAUCAUUUGUGGGGCUUUGCAAGCUAAUUUGUUUGCUGCCUUUUCAAUUUGCCAUUCAGUUUCCAUGGUUUCACGGUUGGUCAGAGAUGGAAUAUUUAAAUCCAAUAGACAAAGCUUGAAGCUGAAGAGCUCAAACGGCCGUGGAAUUGUUUUAUAGCACAGACCAGUGGAAAGAUUCCUGUCCAGGGAAUGGAGAGAGAGAGUCUAGCCCCAGUUUUGCCACCUCCUGCUGAAUUCCUUCUGUGUGCCUCAGUUUCUCCACCUGUGAUGUGGUGUGAGCUCCUAAGGAGUUCCCUCCAGCUCUAUAGUAACAGUGGCCAGAACAACAACAAAAGUGAACAAAUCGUGGCCAUCCAGCCGGCCUGUGGCUGAGGCAGGAGCCCCACUUAGUUCUGUGGACCCGCUGGAUGGAGUCAUUGGAACUGAGCCCCUGCUCGGCUCCACCCUCAUCAGAAGAGGUUCUGCUUUGGAUGGAAUUACUAGGCCAAAUUGAAAUUCAUGGUUGUUAUGAACCAUUUCCAAGACAUCACUCAAAAGCAAGUCAAGAGAUGCUUCUUGCCUGCGUCUGCCCGCCAGAUUUCGGAUCAAGAUUCACAUCCCAUGCCACGUCCGUUAACGGAGGUUUCAAGCUUCUCCCAGAGAUGGGGACAGAUUGCCACAAAUAGAGAUACAGCAGACAAAGGGCGGAGACUGUUCCAGGCAGAGCCCCUCUCCUGGAGGGAUCAUCACCAGAGCUUCUGGCCAGAUCUGCAGAUGGAGAAGCUUUCCUCUAGGUGUAUAAUAGACCAACUUUCGUCUCACUAAAGGGAAAGUAUCCCACAAUGAUGAUCAGAAUGGGAGAAGGCUCCUUAGCCGUGGAAAGAAUGGAGGAAACGUGGGAGGAAGAAGUGGCAGCUAAUCACACGAUGUCAGGCUUGCUUCAUGGCCCGGCAUAUUGUCAAUUUUAGUAAGUUUUUUUUUUUUUUUUCCUGUAUGCCUUGGAAAAGUAGAUAUUUUGCAGUUUCUAAAUGCAUGUUUUGUAUGUUUUAUUAUUUCUAAAAUUAAAUAAGUACCUGUUAUUUCCAAAUUAUCAUAGUAGGUGCUGCCGGGAAAGAGCUUUAUUUUUUUUUUCAUUUAUUUUUUAUUUUUUAAUAUAUUUUUUAAUUUUUUUUAUUUAUUUAUGAUAGUCACAGAAUGAGAGAGAGAGAGAGAGAGAGGCAGAGACAGAAGCAGGUUCCAUGCACCGGGAGCCCGAUGUGGGAUUCG